GUCGAGCGGAGUUGAUGGAGUGCUUGCACUCCUGAUGCUUAGCGGCGGACGGGUGAGUAAUACGUAGGUAACCUGCCCUUAAGACCGGGAUAACUCACGGAAACGUGGGCUAAUACCGGAUAGGCGAUUUCCUCGCAUGAGGGAAUCGGGAAAGGCGGAGCAAUCUGCCACUUAUGGAUGGACCUACGGCGCAUUAGCUAGUUGGUGGGGUAACGGCUCACCAAGGCGACGAUGCGUAGCCGACCUGAGAGGGUGAUCGGCCACACUGGGACUGAGACACGGCCCAGACUCCUACGGGAGGCAGCAGUAGGGAAUCUUCCGCAAUGGACGCAAGUCUGACGGAGCAACGCCGCGUGAGUGAUGAAGGUUUUCGGAUCGUAAAGCUCUGUUGCCAGGGAAGAACGCUAUGGAGAGUAACUGUUCCAUAGGUGACGGUACCUGAGAAGAAAGCCCCGGCUAACUACGUGCCAGCAGCCGCGGUAAUACGUAGGGGGCAAGCGUUGUCCGGAAUUAUUGGGCGUAAAGCGCGCGCAGGCGGUCAUGUAAGUCUGGUGUUUAAACCCGGGGCUCAACUCCGGGUCGCAUCGGAAACUGUGUGACUUGAGUGCAGAAGAGGAAAGUGGAAUUCCACGUGUAGCGGUGAAAUGCGUAGAGAUGUGGAGGAACACCAGUGGCGAAGGCGACUUUCUGGGCUGUAACUGACGCUGAGGCGCGAAAGCGUGGGGAGCAAACAGGAUUAGAUACC
rnacentral:rRNA from 1 species